rnacentral:rRNA from 1 species
UACGGGAGGCAGCAGUGAGGAAUAUUGGUCAAUGGACGAGAGUCUGAACCAGCCAAGUAGCGUGAAGGAUGACUGCCCUAUGGGUUGUAAACUUCUUUUAUAAGGGAAUAAAGUGAGGGACGUGUCCCUUUUUGUAUGUACCUUAUGAAUAAGGAUCGGCUAACUCCGUGCCAGCAGCCGCGGUAAUACGGAGGAUCCGAGCGUUAUCCGGAUUUAUUGGGUUUAAAGGGAGCGUAGGUUGACAUAUAAGUCAGCUGUGAAAGUUUACGGCUCAACCGUGAAAUUGCAGUUGAUACUGUAUGUCUUGAGUGUACAAGAGGUGGGCGGAAUUCGUGGUGUAGCGGUGAAAUGCUUAGAUAUCACGAAGAACUCCAAUUGCGAAGGCAGCUCACUGGGGUACAACUGACACUGAGGCUCGAAAGUGUGGGUAUCAAACAGGAUUAGAUACCCUGGUAGUCCACACAGUAAACGAUGAAUACUCGCUGUUUGCGAUAUACAGUAAGCGGCCAAGCGAAAGCAUUAAGUAUUCCACCUGGGGAGUACGCCGGCAACGGUGAAACUCAAAGGAAUUGACGGGGGCCCGCACAAGCGGAGGAACAUGUGGUUUAAUUCGAUGAUACGCGAGGAACCUUACCCGGGCUUGAAUUGCAGAGGAAUAUAGUUGAAAGAUUAUAGCCGCAAGGUCUCUGUGAAGGUGCUGCAUGGUUGUCGUCAGCUCGUGCCGUGAGGUGUCGGCUUAAGUGCCAUAACGAGCGCAACCCUUAUCAUUAGUUACUAACAGGUCAUGCUGAGGACUCUAGUGAGACUGCCGUCGUAAGAUGUGAGGAAGGUGG